CUUGGCUCCUCCCCCCCCAAAAACUUUAAUGAAUGGAGAUGUCAUAUAUUACAUGAUACGUGGAAGUGGGAUAAAGAUCACUUUCAGAAAGGAGUACAUCAAAAAAAUUCCCAUCCAAGGUGUCAAUGUCACUAAAGGAAUAUUCUCUGCUAUUUAAGUGAGAAUUCUUCCACUUCUUUCCAUUUCAUCAGGCAGAGAUUAUUAUACAUUUUGAAGCACAUGUUGGAGCUUGGAAGAAGAAUGAAGGAUAAAUAAGGGUCUUGUGCUAUGGACAAAGCAAAUCAUGGAAGAGAAUCUUACCUUGGGCAGAAUGGUUGUGUUUGUGGAAAGUUUGAAGAGAUUAAACUGAUGAAGCUUCUAUUUAUAGAACUAUUCUGAUUGUUUCUGUUUUCCCCAGGCUACUGGAGGAUAGAUUCCCAGAAAUGGAAUGAAC
rnacentral:lncRNA from 10 species